UACGUAGGGACCAAGCGUUGUUCGGAUUUACUGGGCGUAAAGGGCGCGUAGGCGGUCAGCACAAGUCAGUUGUGAAAUCUCCGGGCUUAACUCGGAAAGGUCAACUGAUACUGUGCGACUAGAGUGCAGAAGGGGCAACUGGAAUUCUCGGUGUAGCGGUGGAAUGCGCAGAUAUCAGGAGGAACACCGGUGGCGAAGGCGGGUCUCUGGGCCGUAACUGACGCUGAGGAGCGAAAGCAUGGGGAGCGAACAGG
rnacentral:rRNA from 1 species